rnacentral:rRNA from 1 species
UACAGAGGGUGCGAGCGUUGUUCGGAAUUAUUGGGCGUAAAGGGCGCGUAGGCGGUGCGGUAAGUCACCUGUGAAAUCUCCUGGCUCAACUGGGAGCUUGCAGGCGAAACUGCCGUGCUGGAGUGUGGGAGAGGUGCGUGGAAUUCCCAGUGUAGCGGUGAAAUGCGUAGAUAUCUGGAGGAACACCGGUGGCGAAGGCGGCAUCCUGGACCGGCAUUGACGCUGAGGAGCGAAAGCCAGGGGAGCAAACGGG